GAUGAACGCUGGCGGCGUGCCUAAUACAUGCAAGUCGAGCGAACAGACGAGGAGCUUGCUCCUUUGACGUUAGCGGCGGACGGGUGAGUAACACGUAGGUAACCUACCUAUAAGACUGGGAUAACUUCGGGAAACCGGCGCUAAUACCGGAUAAUAUUUCGAACCGCAUGGUUCGAUAGUGAAAGAUGGCUUUGCUAUCACGUAUAGAUGGACUUGCGCCGUAUUAGCUAGUUGGUAAGGUAACGGCUUACCAAGGCAACCAUACGUAGCCGACCUGAGAGGGUGAUCGGCCACAUUGGAGGUGAGCCAGGGUCCAUACUCCUACGGGAGGCAGCAGUAGGGAAUCUUCCGCAAUGGGCGAAAGCCUUACGGAGCAACGCCGCGUGAGUGAUGAAGGUCUUCGGAUCGGAAAACUCUGUUAUUAGUUAAGAACCAACGUGUAAGUAACUGUGCACGUCUUGACGGUACCUAAUCAGAAAGCCACGGCUAACUACGUG
rnacentral:rRNA from 1 species